GGGGCCAUAGCUCAGUUGGUAGAGCGCCUGCUUUGCAAGCAGGAUGUCGGGGGUUCGAAUCCCUCUGGCUCCA
rnacentral:tRNA from 1 species